AGCUUUGUGCAGUAGCAGUAUCGUGGCCAAUGAGGUUUAUCCGAGGCGCGAUUAUUGCUAAUUAUUUGUAGGAGUUCUUUACAUAUUCUGGAUUUGAGUUUUAUGGCUGGCUUGCCUUUUCACUUUAUGAUGUCUUUUGUUAAACAGAAAUUUUAAAAUUUAAUGUGAAUUUAUUAAGCUUUUCUCUAAAG
rnacentral:snRNA from 1 species